rnacentral:rRNA from 1 species
CCUGGCUCAGAUUGAACGCUGGCGGAAUGCUUUACACAUGCAAGUCGAACGGCAGCACGGGAGCUUGCUCCUGGUGGCGAGUGGCGAACGGGUGAGUAACAUAUCGGAACGUAUCCAAUAAUGGGGGAUAACUAAUCGAAAGGUUGGCUAAUACCGCAUACGCCCUGAGGGGGAAAGCUGGGGAUCUUCGGACCUGGCGUUAAUGGAGCGGCCGAUAUCUGAUUAGCUAGUUGGUGAGGUAAAGGCUCACCAAGGCGACGAUCAGUAGCUGGUCUGAGAGGACGACCAGCCACACUGGAACUGAGACACGGCCCCAGACUCCUACGGGAGGCAGCAGUGGGGAAUUUUGGACAAUGGGCGCAAGCCUGAUCCAGCAAUGCCGCGUGCAGGAUGAAGGCCUUCGGGUUGUAAACUGCUUUUGUACGGAACGAAACGGUGAGCUCUAAUACAGUUUGCUAAUGACGGUACCGUAAGAAUAAGCACCGGCUAACUACGUG